rnacentral:rRNA from 1 species
UCAAAGGAAUUGACGGGGCCCGGCACAAGCGGUGGAGUAUGUGGUUUAAUUCGAUGCAACGCGAAGAACCUUACCUGGUCUUGACAUCCCGGAGACCCUUAGGAAACUAGGGGGUGCUUCCAUCUGGAAGAAUCUGGAGACAGGUGCUGCAUGGCUGUCGUCAGCUCGUGUCGUGAGAUGUUGGGUUAAGUCCCGCAACGAGCGCAACCCUUGCCUUUAGUUGCCAGCAGUUCGGCUGGGCACUCUAAAGGGACUGCCGGUGUUAAACCGGAGGAAGGUGGGGAUGACGUCAAGUCCUCAUGGCCUUUAUGACCAGGGCUACACACGUACUACAAUGGCCGAUACAAAGGGCAGCGACACUGCGAGGUGAAGCCAAUCCCGUAAAAUCGGUCUCAGUCCGGAUUGGAGUCUGCAACUCGACUCCAUGAAGUUGGAAUCGCUAGUAAUCGUGGAUCAGCAUGCCACGGUGAAUACGUUCCCGGGCCUU